rnacentral:rRNA from 1 species
UACGUAGGGUGCAAGCAUUAAUCGGAAUUACUGGGCGUAAAGCGUGCGCAGGCGGUUUUGUAAGUCUGUCGUGAAAUCCCCGGGCUCAACCUGGGAAUUGCGAUGGAGACUGCAAGGCUAGAAUCUGGCAGAGGGGGGGUAGAAUUCCACGUGUAGCAGUGAAAUGCGUAGAGAUGUGGAGGAACACCGAUGGCGAAGGCAGCCCCCUGGGUCAAGAUUGACGCUCAUGCACGAAAGCGUGGGGAGCAAACAGG